GUACUCUCACACUCUCUGAUCCUUUGGAUUUGGGGAGCGGUGGACUUGGGUGCUUGCUGCUUCCUUGUGGCUCACCUGAAAUGCAUCAGUGCAUCUCUUGAUUGGACAUAGUACGGCGUGAUAAGUGUCUUCGCCGGCACCUCAUAAGAGGGUGGCUGAUCGGGAGCUCUGUGCUUUCAAACCGUCUUCGGACAACCCUUGACA
rnacentral:misc_RNA from 1 species